rnacentral:rRNA from 1 species
AGUCGAGCGGUAGAGAGUGCUUGCACUCUUGAGAGCGGCGGACGGGUGAGUAAUGCCUAGGAAUCUGCCUAGUGGUGGGGGAUAACGUUCGGAAACGGACGCUAAUACCGCAUACGUCCUACGGGAGAAAGCGGGGGCUCUUCGGACCUCGCGCCAUUAGAUGAGCCUAGGUCGGAUUAGCUAGUUGGUGAGGUAAUGGCUCACCAAGGCGACGAUCCGUAACUGGUCUGAGAGGAUGAUCAGUCACACCGGAACUGAGACACGGUCCAGACUCCUACGGGAGGCAGCAGUGGGGAAUAUUGGACAAUGGGCGCAAGCCUGAUCCAGCCAUGCCGCGUGUGUGAAGAAGGUCUUCGGAUUGUAAAGCACUUUAAGUUGGGAGGAAGGGCACUUGCUUAAUACGUAGGUGUUUUGACGUUACCGACAGAAUAAGCACCGGCUAACUCUGUGCCAGCAGCCGCGGUAAUACAGAGGGUGCAAGCGUUAAUCGGAAUUACUGGGCGUAAAGCGCGCGUAGGUGGUUUGUUAAGUUGAAUGUGAAAUCCCCGGGCUCAACCUGGGAACUGCAUCCAAAACUGGCAAGCUAGAGUAUGGUAGAGGGUGGUGGAAUUUCCUGUGUAGCGGUGAAAUGCGUAGAUAUAGGAAGGAACACCAGUGGCGAAGGCGACCACCUGGACUGAUACUGACACUGAGGUGCGAAAGCGUGGGGAGCAAAUAGGAUUAGAUACCCUGGUAGUCCACGCCGUAAACGAUGUCGACUAGCCGUUGGGAUCCUUGAGAUCUUAGUGGCGCAGCUAACGCAUUAAGUCGACCGCCUGGGGAGUACGGCCGCAAGGUUAAAACUCAAAUGAAUUGAC